UACGUAGGGGGCUAGCGUUGUCCGGAAUCAUUGGGCGUAAAGCGCGCGUAGGCGGCCAGAUAAGUCCGGUGUGAAAGUCACAGGCUCAACCUGUGAAUGCCGCUGGAAACUGUCUGGCUAGAGUCCGGAAGGGGCGAGUGGAAUUCCCGGUGUAGCGGUGAAAUGCGCAGAUAUCGGGAGGAACACCUAUGGCGAAGGCAGCUCGCUGGGACGUUACUGACGCUGAGACGCGAAAGCGUGGGGAGGCAAACAGG
rnacentral:rRNA from 1 species